rnacentral:lncRNA from 1 species
UUUUUAAGUAACAGUGGUAGGCAAUUCAAUUGCAAAUUAGGGGUUAUUUUAAAUAUUAUUUAUAAUGGUAUAAGUGGGUAAUUUGGAUGAAUAUUAGGAGGUUACUUCGGUUUAUUUUAUAUAAUGGUAGAGGUGGGUAAUUUAUAUGUAGAUUUAGAGGGUUACUUUAGACUAUUUACAUAAUGGCAUAGGUGGGUAAUUGUUCAGAAAACAUAAUAGAUCCAAAGGCUAUGAUGAUUUCAAUCUAUCGAUUGAUGGUCGGAUGUUUUGCUUUUUGGUAAGAAUUUCUAGGAUUUCU